rnacentral:rRNA from 1 species
AACCUGCGGAAGGAUCAUUACCGAGUUGAUUCGGGCUCCGGCCCGAUCCUCCCACCCUUUGUGUACCCACCUCUGUUGCUUUGGCGGGCCGCGGUCCUCCGCGGCCGCCCUCCGUCCGGGGGGUGGCCAGCGCCCGCCAGAGGACCAUCGAACUCCGGUCAGUGAACGUUGCCGUCUGAAAAACAAUCAAUAAACUAAAACUUUCAACAACGGAUCUCUUGGUUCUGGCAUCGAUGAAGAACGCAGCGAAAUGCGAUAAGUAAUGUGAAUUGCAGAAUUCAGUGAUCAUCGAAUCUUUGAACGCACAUUGCGCCCCUCGGUAUUCCGAGGGGCAUGCCUGUUCGAGCGUCAUUACAACCCUCAAGCUCUGCUUGGUGUUGGGCACCGCCCUUCCGCGGGCGCGCCUCAAAGACCUCGGCGGUGGCGUCUUGCCUCGAGCGUAGUAGAAAACACCUCGCUUUGGAGCGCACGGCGCCGCCCGCCGGACGAACCUUUUGAACUUCUCAAGGUGACCUCGGAUCAGGUAGGGAUACCCGCUGAACUUAA